rnacentral:rRNA from 1 species
GUAUCCAACAAGGAAGUGACGGCUAACUACGUGCCAGCAGCCGCGGUAAAACGUAGGUCACAAGCGUUGUCCGGAAUUACUGGGUGUAAAGGGAGCGCAGGCGGGAAGACAAGUUGGAAGUGAAAUCUAUGGGCUCAACCCAUAAACUGCUUUCAAAACUGUUUUUCUUGAGUAGUGCAGAGGUAGGCGGAAUUCCCGGUGUAGCGGUGGAAUGCGUAGAUAUCGGGAGGAACACCAGUGGCGAAGGCGGCCUACUGGGCACCAACUGACGCUGAGGCUCGAAAGUGUGGGUAGCAAACAGGAUUAGAUACCCUGGUAGUCCACACCGUAAACGAUGAUUACUAGGUGUUGGAGGAUUGACCCCUUCAGUGCCGCAGUUAACACGAUAAGUAAUCCACCUGGGGA